GAUGAACGCUGGCGGCGUGCCUAAUACAUGCAAGUCGAGCGAACGGACGAGAAGCUUGCUUCUCUGAUGUUAGCGGCGGACGGGUGAGUAACACGUGGAUAACCUACCUAUAAGACUGGGAUAACUUCGGGAAACCGGAGCUAAUAACGGAUAAUAUUUUGAACCGCAGGGUGCAAAAGUGAAAGACGGUCUUGCUGUCACUUAUAGAUGGAUCCGCGCUGCAUUAGCUAGUUGGUAAGGUAACGGCUUACCAAGGCAACGAUGCAUAGCCGACCUGAGAGGGUGAUCGGCCACACUGGAACUGAGACACGGUCCAGACUCCUACGGGAGGCAGCAGUAGGGAAUCUUCCGCAAUGGGCGAAAGCCUGACGGAGCAACGCCGCGUGAGUGAUGAAGGUCUUCGGAUCGUAAAACUCUGUUAUUAGGGAAGAACAUAUGUGUAAGUAACUGUGCACAUCUUGACGGUACCUAAUCAGAAAGCCACGGCUAACUACGUG
rnacentral:rRNA from 1 species